rnacentral:rRNA from 1 species
CCUACGGGAGGCUGCAGUAGGGAAUUUUCGGCAAUGGGGGGAACCCUGACCGAGCAACGCCGCGUGAACGAAGAAGUUAUUCGUAAUGUAAAGUUCUUUUAACAGGGAAGAAAGAGAAAUUUGACGGUACCUGAAGAAUAAGCUCCGGCUAACUACGUGCCAGCAGCCGCGGUAAUACGUAGGGAGCGAGCGUUAUCCGGAAUUAUUGGGCGUAAAGGGUGCGUAGAUGGCAUAGUAAGUCUUUUGUAAAAAUGCUGGGCUCAACCCAGUAGGGCAAAAGAUACUGCAAAGCUAGAGUAUGACAGAGGCAAGUGGAACUACAUGUGUAGCGGUAAAAUGCGUAGAUAUUAGGAGGAACACCAGUGGCGAAGGCGGCCUGCUGGGCUUUUACUGACGCUGAGGCUCGAAAGUGUGGGGAGCAAACAGGAUUAGAUACCCUUGUAGUC